GAUGAAGAACGUAGCGAAAUGCGAUACGUAAUGUGAAUUGCAGAAUUCAGUGAAUCAUCGAGUCUUUGAACGCACAUUGCGCCCCCUGGUAUUCCGGGGGGCAUGCCUGUCCGAGCGUCAUUGCUGCCCUCAAGCACGGCUUGUGUGUUGGGCCUCCGUCCUCCUCCCGGGGGACGGGCCCGAAAGGCAGCGGCGGCACCGCGUCCGGUCCUCGAGCGUAUGGGGCUUCGUCACCCGCUCUUGUANNNNCGGCCGGCGCUUGCCGACACAUCAAUCUUUUUUCCAGGUUGACCUCGGAUCAGGUAGGGAUACCCGCUGAACUUAAGCAUAUCAAUAAGCGGAGGA
rnacentral:misc_RNA from 1 species